UACAGAGGGGGCAAGCGUUAUUCGGAAUUAUUGGGCGUAAAGCGCGUGUAGGCGGUCCGGUAAGUCCGCUGUGAAAGUCGGGGGCUCAACCCUCGAAUGCCGGUGGAUACUGUCGGGCUAGAGUGCGGAAGAGGCGAGUGGAAUUCCUGGUGUAGCGGUGAAAUGCGCAGAUAUCAGGAGGAACACCAAUUGCGAAGGCAGCUCGCUGGGACGUUACUGACGCUGAGACGCGAAAGCGUGGGGAGCAAACAGG
rnacentral:rRNA from 1 species